GAUGAACGCUGGCGGCGUGCCUAAUACAUGCAAGUCGAGCGAACAGACGAGGAGCUUGCUCCUCUGACGUUAGCGGCGGACGGGUGAGUAACACGUGGAUAACCUACCUAUAAGACUGGGAUAACUUCGGGAAACCGGAGCUAAUACCGGAUAACAUAUUGAACCGCAUGGUUCAAUAGUGAAAGUCGGUGUUGCUGUCACUUAUAGAUGGAUCCGCGCCUUAUUAGCUAGUUGGUAAGGUAACGGCUUACCAAGGCGACGAUUCGUAUGCGACCUGAGAGGCUGGUCGGCCACACUGGAGCGGAGACGCGCUCCAGGCUCCUGCGGGACGCAGCAGACGGCUAUCGUACGCAGUAGGCGAGAGCAUGGCAGAGCGAGCCCACGUGAGUGAUAGAGGUCUUGCGAGCGUAAAACUCUGUUAUUAGGGAAAAACAAAUGUGUAAGUAACUAUGCACGUCUUGACGGUACCUAAUCAAAAAGCCACGGCUAACUACGUG
rnacentral:rRNA from 1 species